rnacentral:rRNA from 1 species
GAUGAACGCUGGCGGCGUGCUUAACACAUGCAAGUCGAACGGAAUUUAAAAGUGGAAGUUUUCGGAUGGAAACUUUUAAAUUUAGUGGCGGACGGGUGAGUAACGCGUGGGUAACCUGCCGUAUACAGGGGGAUAACACUUAGAAAUAGGUGCUAAUACCGCAUAAGCGCACAGUGUCGCAUGACACAGUGUGAAAAGCCUCGGCGGUAUACGAUGGACCCGCGUCUGAUUAGCUAGUUGGUGGGGUAGAGGCCUACCAAGGCGACGAUCAGUAGCCGGCCUGAGAGGGUGACCGGCCACAUUGGGACUGAGACACGGCCCAAACUCCUACGGGAGGCAGCAGUGGGGAAUAUUGCACAAUGGGGGAAAGCCUGAUGCAGCGACGCCGCGUGAGUGAAGAAGUAUUUCGGUAUGUAAAGCUCUAUCAGCAGGGAAGAAAAUGACGGUACCUGACUAAGAAGCCCCGGCUAACUACGUGCCAGCCGCCGCAGUAACAC